rnacentral:rRNA from 1 species
GUGAGGAAUUUUCCGCAAUGGGCGAAAGCCUGACGGAGCAAUGCCGCGUGAAGGAUGAAGGCCUAUGGGUUGUAAACUUAUUUUCUCAGAAAAGAAUUAUGACGGUAUCUGAGGAAUAAGCAUCGGCUAACUCUGUGCCAGCAGCCGCGGUAAGACAGAGGAUGCAAGCGUUAUCCGGAAUGAUUGGGCGUAAAGCGUCUGUAGGUUGUUUAAAAAGUAUUCUGUCAAAGAUUAGGGCUUAACCCUAGAUAGGCAGAAUAAACUUUUAAGCUAGAGUUUGGUAGAGGCGGAGGGAAUUCCCGGUGGAGCGGUGAAAUGCGUAGAUAUCGGGAGGAACACCAAAGGCGAAGGCACUCUGCUGGGCCAAUACUAACACUGAGAGACGAAAGCGAGGGGAGCAAAUGGGAUUAGAUACCCUGGUAGUCC